rnacentral:rRNA from 1 species
UACGGGGGGGGCAAGCGUUGUUCGGAAUUACUGGGCGUAAAGGGCCAGUAGGCGGCCAACUAAGUCCGACGUGAAAUCCCAAGGCUUAACCUUGGAACUGCGUCGGAUACUGGAUGGCUUGAAUUCGGGAGAGGGAUGCAGAAUUCCAGGUGUAGCGGUGAAAUGCGUAGAUAUCUGGAGGAACACCGGUGGCGAAGGCGGCUCUCUGGACGGUGACUGACGCUGAGACGCGAAAGCGUGGGGAGCAAACAGG